rnacentral:piRNA from 1 species
UGCCAGCCAGAGAUGCCAAACAA